AGCCCUUGUAAUAAUCAAAGGUGCAACCUGCCCAAUGAUUUUUAAGCUAAUAAAAAUAACAUUUUUAUAAAAAAAUUUAAAGGACGCAGUAUCUUGACUGUGGUAAUGUAGCAUAAUCACUCGCCAUUUAAUUGAUGGAUAGUAUGAAUGGUUAAACGAAUAUCACACUGUCUUUAAUAAAAAACUCAUGAAAUUAAAAUAAUAGUUAAGAUGCUAUUUAAAACUGUAAGACGAAAAGACCCUAUAGAGCUUAACUACAUUUUCUUUUAAGAAAUAGAAAUAAAAAAUUCUUCUCAUAAAGAAAAAGGUAGUUUAGUUGGGGCGACUAUCUUCUAUAAAUAACGAAGACAAGCAAUGUUAAUAAUAAAUUUAUUGUAUAAUACAUCAAUUUAACAAUUAUGAAAAUAGGCUAUAAUGACCCAUUAAGAUUAAGUAAUAAACUUAAUGAUCAAUAAAUAAAAGCUACCUUAGGGAUAACAGGAUAAUUUUGUUUUAGAGAUCAAAUCGAAAACAAAGUUUGUCACCUCUAUGUUGAAUUAAGAUAUCCUGAUAGUGCAGAAGCCAUCAAAGGUAGGUCUGUUCGACCUUUAAAAUCUUA
rnacentral:rRNA from 1 species